rnacentral:rRNA from 2 species
ACCUGAGCCAUAUUAGAAAAAAAAAAAAAAAAAAAAAACCGGUUCUCGUCCGAUCACCGAAGUUAAGCUCGAUUGGGCGCGGUUAGUACUUGGAUGGGUGACCGCCUGGGAAUACCGCGUGCUGUAGGCA